rnacentral:rRNA from 1 species
UACAGAGACUGCAAGCGUAUUCGGAUUCACUGGGCGUAAAGGGUGCGCAGGUGGCCAAGUGUGUGAGGCGUGAAAGCCCGGGGCUUAACCCCGGAAUUGCACCUCAAACUACUUGGCUAGAGCAUUGGAGAGGGGAGCAGAAUUCACGGUGUAGCAGUGAAAUGCGUAGAUAUCGUGAGGAAUACCAGAGGCGAAGGCGGCUCCCUGGACAAUUGCUGACACUCAGGCACGAAAGCGUGGGGAGCAAAAGGG